rnacentral:rRNA from 1 species
AUUGAACGCUGGCGGCAUGCUUUACGCAUGCAAGUCGAACGGCAGCGCGGGCUUCGGCCUGGCGGCGAGUGGCGAACGGGUGAGUAAUACAUCGGAACGUGCCCAGUAGUGGGGGAUAGCUCGGCGAAAGCCGGAUUAAUACCGCAUACGACCUGAGGGUGAAAGCGGGGGAUCUUCGGACCUCGCGCUAUUGGAGCGGCCGAUGGCAGAUUAGCUAGUUGGUGUGGUAAAGGCCUACCAAGGCGACGAUCUGUAGCUGGUCUGAGAGGACGACCAGCCACACUGGGACUGAGACACGGCCCAGACUCCUACGGGAGGCAGCAGUGGGGAAUUUUGGACAAUGGGCGAAAGCCUGAUCCAGCAAUGCCGCGUGUGUGAUGAAGGCCUUCGGGUUGUAAAGCACUUUUGGCGGGAACGAAAAGGACUGUGCCAAUACCACGGUUCGAUGACGGUACCCGCAGAAUAAGCACCGGCUAACUACGUG